AUUGAACGCUAGCGGGAUGCCUUACACAUGCAAGUCGAACGGAGUUGCCCACGGGUGUGUCAUGUAUCGGAACGUGCCCAUUAGCGGGGGAUAACUACGCCUAAGCGUCGCUACUACCGCAUCCUAUUGGAGCGGCCUAUAUCGGAUUAGCUAUGUGUGGGGGUAACGGCUCACCAAGGCGACGAGCCGUAGGUGGUUUGAGAGGACGACCAGCCACACUGGGACUGAGACACGGCCCAGACUCCUACGGGAGGCAGCCGUGGGGAAUUUUGGACAAUGGGGGAAACCCUGAUCCAGCCAUCCCGCGUGUGCGAUGAAGGCCUUCGGGUUGUAAAGCACUUUUGGCAGGAAAGCGGGACCUGAAGAAUAAGCACAGGCUAACUACGUGCCAGCAGCCGCGGUAAUAG
rnacentral:rRNA from 1 species